rnacentral:misc_RNA from 1 species
CUCUACCAUCUGAUCUACAUCCCCUUUGUCGUUAAAUUUUAGGAAUUUUUAUAUUACUGAAACCAACAAGAAUGUCGAGUCCUCAACUAUGCUAUUGACAGUGCUGCGGUAUGCAAUAGCUAGCCAAGAAAUGACAUGCUGUAUAAGUUAAAUGUGAGUGUCAAUACUAAUGGGAUUGGAAGCGGAUGCAUUUCCAUUGGUGUGCACGAGGCUUUUAGGAAAGGAAGAUUGUAAAUCUGAGAUGGAAGAACAAGCCAGUGGAGUCAUGAUUUUGAAUAUGGUAUGGUUUCUUUUUCUUUUUUUAGUUUCUGCACACUUUACCAUGUUUUUCUUUUUUUUGUCUCCGCUUGGAUGACUAAACCUUUGCUGGGCAUAUCUCUGCUCUUUGAUAGCAGAAAAGGUUUAGGAAUGAUCCAUUAAGUAUUAACAAUAUGAAGUUCUUGGCAGAUCAAAAUUAUACUCAUAUCAAUUUACACUGAAUCUGAUUUUUUGGUCAUGGUGUCAUCUGUGUCACAAUCCAAAGUGUUCUUAGGAAUUCUUACUUCAAGAAAUGUAUCGUUGUUCACAUAUGCCUCAAUUUUGCUCCAAUCUGCAUCUUCUGGGAGCUCAAGUCUUCUAACAUACCCAUGUUCCCACCAGUGCCCACUUCUCCAAUCUUUAGCUUUUGACUCUUUUUGCUGCUUCCAUUGCCCACUAAUUUCCACAAUCUUCCCAUUUUCAGCAUAUACACGCACUGUGUUUAUCCCAGCUCCUGCUUUACAAAACCAUCAGGCUCAAGAAAUUUCAGAAUCACUGCAUAACUUGUUUAUGUUAUCUAAUCACUUUUCUUUUCAAGUCCACUUUGCAAAAAAGAUGUCGAGAAUUACUAAGAACGCUUACCUGGUAGUUCUGCUUUUAGUACAUAAGCUUCAUCUGCCUGAAACCAAUCAACGCUAGUCUUGCCAGAGCUCCGAAGAUUAGAUAACAAGAUAUCAGACUCAAAUUCCCACAGUGGAAAGGCAUCUGAAGGAUCAAAAUAUUUUCCAAACAACAAGGGACUGAACAACGAUCCUUCGCCAAAUAUCUUAUGCAGGAUUGGGGUUCCAUGAGAGAAAAACCUUUUGAAUAAUUCUUCAGUUAAUGAAACACUCCACUUAUGUGGAGUUUGAUCUUCUGUAUGAACUUCAAGCAGUCUGCAACUUGUCAUCGCAGAUUAGUACAUGAAAAUGUUCAGAAUUUUUUUCCUGGUGGUGGUUUGAGGCUUUAGGCUUUUAUAGUGUGAAAAGAGUCACUUUAAUAAAAGCAAAGAACAAAUGCUUUGAGACUACUUGAUGGGAUGUAAAGGAAGAGGGAAUUUUUUCUAUGGGGGCCUUGUCCAUUACUAAGAAGGAAUUGUAACAGGCAGAUUUGGAAGAAUGGAGAAAAUCUUUUCUCUUCCCCUCUCUCUCCCCUCCUCCACAACCCCCAUCUCAUCCCCCACCCACCCAUUCCCACCACCACCAACCACCCACCCCCCACCCCCCCCACACCAACCCCCCCUUUUCCCUUCCGUCUUCCUUUAAAUGAGACCCUUCCGUCUUCCUUUAAAUGAGAAUGUCCUGCAAUUUUCAAUGAACAUCAUCUGGCAUCUGCCCAUGCUGGGCCAUACAAUUUCACAAGCAGGACACUCCAUCAUAAUUCUUUCUCCAACUUAAUUGUCGAGAUCUUGACGUGAUAAUUAAACAGAAUUAAACAAAAAAAAAAAAGAACCAGUAAAAUUAUACCAAUUUGUGCACAGGAACCUGCAUCCAAGAGUCAUGAGUAGCGCAAGCAUUUUUAUGUCCUUCAGCUAAUUAAACAGAAAAUAUGCACUUGCAUGCUUAGUCUGGUUGUGAGUGCAGAUCUCCAACUUGCAAUUAAUUGCAAAUCAGUACUGUUUGCACUGAAUACCGAACACUCUCAAAUCUAACCUGUUCUGGUAUGUUAAUCCCAAAUGGAGAGAAAAGCUGGACUUAAGAUGUUGACAGACUUGUUUUCUCAAUUUUGAGAACUUUGCUGCCAUAAAGUUUGAUUUUCCAAGUCAAGAAACCAUAUGAUACACGGUUUUUGUUGUAGCAUGUUAUUUGCCUGGAAAAUAAUGUUUAAGCUGGAUCUUUUUUUUUUUGUGGAAAUCCCACAGAGAUUAGAGAUCAUUCUUUGGCGUUAAGGGUAUUAUCCCACAUACUUAACUUGAGUUUUCUUCCUGAUGUAAUUGUUGGCUUGUGAAUGGAAAUGAUUAUGCAAAGUUUGCUUGAAA